rnacentral:rRNA from 1 species
GUAGGGGGGGGGGGGUGCCUAAUAUAUGCAAGUCGAGCGAACGGACGAGAAGCUUGCUUCUCUGAUGUUAGCGGCGGACGGGUGAGUAACACGUGGAUAACCUACCUAUAAGACUGGGAUAACUUCGGGAAACCGGAGCUAAUACCGGAUAAUAUUUUGAACCGCAUGGUUCAAAAGUGAAAGACGGUCUUGCUGUCACUUAUAGAUGGAUCCGCGCUGCAUUAGCUAGUUGGUAAGGUAACGGCUUACCAAGGCAACGAUGCAUAGCCGACCUGAGAGGGUGAUCGGCCACACUGGAACUGAGACACGGUCCAGACUCCUACGGGAGGCAGCAGUAGGGAAUCUUCCGCAAUGGGCGAAAGCCUGACGGAGCAACGCCGCGUGAGUGAUGAAGGUCUUCGGAUCGUAAAACUCUGUUAUUAGGGAAGAACAUAUGUGUAAGUAACUGUGCACAUCUUGACGGUACCUAAUCAGAAAGCCACGGCUAACUACGUGCCAGCAGCCGCGGUAAUACGUAGGUGGCAAGCGUUAUCCGGAAUUAUUGGGCGUAAAGCGCGCGUAGGCGGUUUUUUAAGUCUGAUGUGAAAGCCCACGGCUCAACCGUGGAGGGUCAUUGGAAACUGGAAAACUUGAGUGCAGAAGAGGAAAGUGGAAUUCCAUGUGUAGCGGUGAAAUGCGCAGAGAUAUGGAGGAACACCAGUGGCGAAGGCGACUUUCUGGUCUGUAACUGACGCUGAUGUGCGAAAGCGUGGGGAUCAAACAGGAUUAGAUACCCUGGUAGUCCACGCCGUAAACGAUGAGUGCUAAGUGUUAGGGGGUUUCCGCCCCUUAGUGCUGCAGCUAACGCAUUAAGCACUCCGCCUGGGGAGUACGACCGCAAGGUUGAAACUCAAAGGAAUUGACGGGGACCCGCACAAGCGGUGGAGCAUGUGGUUUAAUUCGAAGCAACGCGAAGAACCUUACCAAAUCUUGACAUCCUUUGACAACUCUAGAGAUAGAGCUUUCCCCUUCGGGGGACAAAGUGACAGGUGGUGCAUGGUUGUCGUCAGCUCGUGUCGUGAGAUGUUGGGUUAAGUCCCGCAACGAGCGCAACCCUUAAGCUUAGUUGCCAUCAUUAAGUUGGGCACUCUAAGUUGACUGCCGGUGACAAACCGGAGGAAGGUGGGGAUGACGUCAAAUCAUCAUGCCCCUUAUGAUUUGGGCUACACACGUGCUACAAUGGACAAUACAAAGGGCAGCGAAACCGCGAGGUCAAGCAAAUCCCAUAAAGUUGUUCUCAGUUCGGAUUGUAGUCUGCAACUCGACUACAUGAAGCUGGAAUCGCUAGUAAUCGUAGAUCAGCAUGCUACGGUGAAUACGUUCCCGGGUCUUGUACACACCGCCCGUCACACCACGAGAGUUUGUAACACCCGAAGCCGGUGGAGUAACCUUUUAGGAGCUAGCUCGAGAGAGUGAACAAAAGUCCUUC